AAAAAGUCAGGCGCGUUCCUGCUGCAGAGGCCGGACCGCCUCCCUCCGCCCCCUCCCCCUCCCGUCCGGCCACUGCGGGGAGGAUUCAGUCACGCAUCCUCCGUUUCUUCCUCCUCCUCGCGUCCCACUGCGGACUUCCCGACCGGUCCGGAUAGCGACAGGACGGAGCGGCGCCAUGGCCGAGUCCAAACCGCAACGGGGCUUCCCGCGUCUACGCCGCGCCGCGACGUCGUUUCCCGGCAACCUGCACCUGGUUUUGGUCCUCGGCCCCUCCACCUUGUUAAGCUCCGCCCCAAGCCCCUCCUCCAGCACCGACCUGGGCUUCCGCUUCAGCCACGACGACUUCCUGCUCAAGAUGCCGGUGGUGAUGCUGCGCUCGGUGGGCGACCUGCUCCGCUACAUCGACGACAACCGGCUAACGUCGGAUCCGCGCGGCGGCGGCGGCGACGAGCGCUUUCGCGGCGACUGGAUUGUCCUGCGUUCGGCCAUCGAGACGUUUGCCGUGACGGUGAAGGAGGUGGCGCACCUCCUGCAAGGUUUUGGCUCCGAGCUGUCCGACGCCGAACUCCCCGACGACGCCGACUCCGUCGACUUCCUGCUGCGCUCGCAGAUGCAGCGGUACAGACGCAUGAAGGAGGACGUUACCGUGGUGCUGAAGGAAGGGCGCCUCCUGCUGGACAACCUGGAGACGCACACGGCUUCCAAGGAGGACGCCGCGGAGGACGACGGGGACGUCCAGUCGGACUUGCAGACAGUUCAAAGGCUCCUGGAUCAGCUGCGGGACAUGGAGGAGGCGUUCGACGGCUUCUUCGAGAAACAUCACCUGAAGAUGCAACAGUGCCACCAACUGCUGCUCUACGAGAGAAACUUCCAGAAGAUGGAGGCGGAGCUGGAGAGGACGUCUGCCGAAGAGAAGGCCAUCCCGGCCGUGGGGAACACGCUGCAGCGCACCGAGCAACUCCUCCAAGAUCUGAACGCACUUGAGCAACGCGCGGAGGAGGUGAUGUCCCGCGCUCGGGUCCUGACGCUGCAGGGCCACCAGCUGGCCGCCCACCAUCAUUACGCCCUGGCGCUCAUCAUGCAGCGCUGCAACGAGUUGCGUCAUCACUGCGAUGUCAUCGGCGGGGGGCUGCGCGGCAAACGGGCGACGCUAACGCGGGCGAGAGACCUGCUCGCGCGACUCGACCGGUCUCUGCGCUGGUGCGACGAGGGCGCGUACCUGCUGGCCAGCCAGAUGGUGGACCGGUUCCAGAGCAGGGAAGGUGCUCAGGAGGCCCUGCGGUACCUGAGCUGCCACCAGGAGAGGGCGCCAGACGUGCUGGACAACAAACAUGACGUGCUCAGUCUGGAGUUCGAGGCCAUACUCACCCCCCAGCUGCAGAGUCAGAUCUCCAUGGUGACAGACAAGAUGGCGUCCAUGCGGGCCAUGAUCCACAACAGAGAGCAGUGUCUUCGCAAGAUGGUGGACGUGCGGGUCAGACCCGUCCAGCCGGUGGCGCCGCGGCCCGAAGCGGAAAUGGCAGAACCGCCCACGCAGAACGAACCCAAGCAGCUGCUCUUCUCGCCCAAACACAGUGUGGACUUCAACCUUCUCAACUCCAGGUUCUCCUUCGAUCUUCUUCCCGGAAAGAGAACCUCCAGGAGGACCAGCGACCAACGAAAGAUUGAAGUGAUGCACGACUACCAAGGCAACCGCAGCUCCUUGUACGGCUCCGCCCCCGAGAGCGACUCGGAAGUGGAGGAAGGGGCGGAGCAGGUGACGAUCCGCAUCAUGAAGGAGCUCAUCUCCACCGAGAAGAUUUACGUGGACCAGCUCCUCGCCGUCCUUCUGGGCUACCGAGCGGAGAUGGAGGACCCGUCUAUGUGCAAUCUCCUCCCGUCGCUUCUCCGCAGUCGCAAGGACGUCCUGUUUGGGAACAUGCCACAAAUCUACCAGUUUCACAGCGGAACAUUCCUGCACGAUCUCCAGCGCUGCCUGGACACGCCGGAGCGGGUGGGCCAGUGCUUCCUGCGGCGGAAGGAGAACUUCCAGAUGUACGAGGAGUACUGCCAGAACAAGACUCAGUCGGAGUCGCUAUGGAGGCAGUGCUCGGACUCUGCCUUUUUCCAGGAGUGCCAGAAGAAGCUGGACCACAAGCUGUCUUUGGACUCGUACCUGCUGAAACCCAUCCAGCGCCUCACCAAGUACCAGCUGAUCCUCAAGGAACUCCUCAAACACUGCGCGGAGCCGCAGUACCGUACGCAGCUGCAGGAGGCGCUGGACUGCAUGCUGGACCUGGUCAAAUCCGUCAACGACUCCAUGCACCAGACCGCCAUCGUCGGCUACCAGGGUGAGCUGGGCCCGCUGGGCCGCGUGCUUCUGCAGGGCGGCUUCAGCGUGUGGAUCAGCCACAAGAGGGGGGCGGCGCGCAUGCGGGAGCUGGCGCGCUUCAAAGCCGCCCAGCGCCACGUCUUCCUCUACGAGAGCGCGCUGGUCUGCUGCAAGCGCCGCGACGACUGCCGCCGCUCGCCCGUCUACAGCUUCAAGUCCUGCCUCGGGAUGAACGCGGUGAGCGUGACCGAAAACGUCAAGGGAGACGCCAGGAAGUUCGAACUCUGCCACAGAGGAACGCAGGAAGUCUACAUCCUACAGGCUCCCAGCGUGGAGGUGAAGGCCGCUUGGCUCGCGCAGAUCCAAAAGGUCGUCGGUCAGCUGCACAAAGAUGCCCUCGCCUCGGACAGCCCCUCCCACCGUUGCAUGACAGUCCCGCACGACACUCGAACGCCCCUCCCGCGCGUGAGGCGUGCGUGCUUGGGGGGUGGGGAGGCCGCUCAGGCUGUCUUCCUGUCGCUUGCAGCUCCGCCGGAUGGGAGGAGUCUGUCAACACCAGCCCCGCCCACUCGGACCCCACUCCGCACACGCCCCCGCGAGCCCGGCCGGCGGCGGCGGCGCACUCUGUGUCCACCUGUGACGGCUCGGAGGACUGGGGGGCCACAGACGGCUCCAACGCGUCUGAUACCGACGACGACGAGCGCCCCGCGCCCCUGGUGGCGGGACGCUACCGGGUCCUGGUGACCAGCGGUGUGGCGAGCGGUGAUGACAUCAUCUUUACGCGCGGCGAUGUCAUCCAGCUGCUGCAUUGCGACGCGGACGGAUCGUGGCUGGUGAGGAACGUGAGCCGAGACGAAGAGGGGCGCGUCACGGCCCAAGACCUGCACAGGAUUCUGGGAGAGACGCGCUAGGAGCCGAGCUGCUCGCUCACCGUGACGCCGCGCACAGGAAACGCAUCGGGACGUCAUCG